GACGAACGCUGGCGGCGUGCCUAAUACAUGCAAGUAGAACGCUGAAGGAGGAGCUUGCUUCUCUGGAUGAGUUGCGAACGGGUGAGUAACGCGUAGGUAACCUGCCUGGUAGCGGGGGAUAACUAUUGGAAACGAUAGCUAAUACCGCAUAAGAGUAGAUGUUGCAUGACAUUUGCUUAAAAGGUGCAAUUGCAUCACUACCAGAUGGACCUGCGUUGUAUUAGCUAGUUGGUGGGGUAACGGCUCACCAAGGCGACGAUACAUAGCCGACCUGAGAGGGUGAUCGGCCACACUGGGACUGAGACACGGCCCAGACUCCUACGGGAGGCAGCAGUAGAGAAUCUUCGGCAAUGGACGGAAGUCUGACCGAGCAACGCCGCGUGAGUGAAGAAGGUUUUCGGAUCGUAAAGCUCUGUUGUAAGAGAAGAACGAGUGUGAGAGUGGAAAGUUCACACUGUGACGGUAUCUUACCAGAAAGGGACGGCUAACUACGUG
rnacentral:rRNA from 1 species